AGGACGAACGCUUGCGACGUGCCUAAGAAAUGCAAGUCGAACGGAUCAGCAGCAAUGCUGGUUAGUGGCGAACGGUCGCGUAACACGUGGGCAACCUGCCCUGAAGCGGGGGACAACAACUCGAAAGAGUUGCUAAUACCGCAUGUGUAUCGGGAUGGCAUCAUCCAGGAUACAAAGCCGCAAGGCACUUCAGGAUGGGCCCGCGGCCUAUCAGCUAGUUGGUGAGGUAACGGCCCACCAAGGCUUCGACGGGUAGCUGGUCUGAGAGGACGAUCAGCCGGAUUGGGACUGAGAUACGGCCCAGACUCCUACGGGGGGCAGCAAUUAGGAAUCUUGCACAAUGGGCGAAAGCCUGAUGCAGCGACGUCGCGUGUGGGAUGAAGCCUUUCGGGGCGUAAACCACUUUUAUCGGGAAGAAAAAAUGACGGUACCGAUGAAUAAGCCCGGCUAACUACGUGCCAGCAGCCGC
rnacentral:rRNA from 1 species